CGGACUUGACAUGCAGGUGGUACCAAAGCGAAAGCUGAGGGACCCGCAAGGGAGCCUGUGCAGGUGCUGCACGGCUGUCGUCAGCUCGUGCCGUGAGGUGUUGGGUUAAGUCCCGCAACGAGCGCAACCCCUGUUCUUAGUUGCCAGCGCGUAAUGGCGGGGACUCUAGGAAGACUGCCGGUGCCAAACCGGAGGAAGGUGGGGAUGACGUUUACCGACAGCU
rnacentral:misc_RNA from 1 species